GACGUAGGGCGCGAGCGUUGUCCGGAUUUAUUGGGCGUAAAGAGCUCGUAGGCGGCUUGUCGCGUCGGCUGUGAAAACCCGCGGCUCAACUGUGGGCGGGCAGCUGAUACGGGCAGGCUGGAGUUCGGUAGGGGAGACUGGAAUUCCUGGUGUGAGCGGUGAAAUGCGUAGAUAUCAAGAGGAACACCUGAGGUGAAGACGGGUUGCUGGGCCGACACUGACGCUGAUGCGCGAAAGCCAGGGGAGCAAACGGG
rnacentral:rRNA from 1 species